CCCCUUGGAGAUCAUCUCCAAAAUCCUUGCCGGUCUCAAUCUGGAAUAUAAUCCGAUCGUGUCAGCACUCGCAGCUAGGGUAGAGCCUGUCACGGUUCAGGAACUCUACAGCCAACUGCUGAGUUUUGAUC
rnacentral:snoRNA from 1 species